rnacentral:rRNA from 1 species
UUCUGGCUCAGAUUGAACGCUGGCGGCAGGCCUAACACAUGCAAGUCGAACGGUAACAGGAAGAAGCUUGCUCUUGCUGACGAGUGGCGGACGGGUGAGUAAUGUCUGGGAAACUGCCUGAUGAGGGGGAUAACUACUGGAAACGGUAGCUAAUACCGCAUAACGUCGCAAGACCAAAGAGGGGGACCUUCGGGCCUCUUGCCAUCGGAUGUGCCCAGAUGGGAUUAGCUAGUAGGUGGGGUAACGGCUCACCUAGGCGACGAUCCCUAGCUGGUCUGAGAGGAUGGCCAGCCACACUGGAACUGAGACACGGUCCAGACUCCUACGGGAGGCAGCAGUGGGGAAUAUUGCACAAUGGGCGCAAGCCUGAUGCAGCCGUGCCGCGUGUAAUGAAGAAGGCCUUCGGGUCGUAAAGUACUUUCAGCGGGGAGGAAGGGAGUAAAGUUAAUACCUUUGCUCAUUGACGUUACCCGCAGAAGAAGCACCGGCUAACUCCGUGCCAGCAGCUGC